rnacentral:rRNA from 1 species
GACGAACGCUGGCGGCGUGCCUAAUACAUGCAAGUCGAGCGGACUUUCAAGAAGCUUGCUUUUUGAAAGUUAGCGGCGGACGGGUGAGUAACACGUGGGCAACCUGCCUGUAAGACGGGGAUAACUCCGGGAAACCGGGGCUAAUACCGGAUAAUAUCUUUCUUCGCAUGAAGGAAGGUUGAAAGGCGGCGCAAGCUGCCGCUUGCAGAUGGGCCCGCGGCGCACUAGCUAGUUGGUGAGGUAACGGCUCACCAAGGCGACGAUGCGUAGCCGACCUGAGAGGGUGAUCGGCCACACUGGGACUGAGACACGGCCCAGACUCCUACGGGAGGCAGCAGUAGGGAAUCUUCCGCAAUGGACGAAAGUCUGACGGAGCAACGCCACGUGAGCGAAGAAGGUCUUCGGAUCGUAAAGCUCUGUUGUCAGGGAAGAACAAGUACCGUUCGAAUAGGGCGGUACCUUGACGGUACCUGACCAGAAAGCCACGGCUAACUACGUGCCAGCCGCCGCGGUAA